AACCGCCUAGUGCGGACCCGCAUGCUAGGUGGUGUGGGGAGGGCGGGCUAAAUACCCGCCCUUACCCGAU
rnacentral:misc_RNA from 1 species